UCCGGUUUGUCACCGGCGGUCUCCCUAGAGUUCCCGACUUUACUCGCUGGCAACUAGGGACAAGGGUUGCGCUCGUUGCGGGACUUAACCCAACAUCUCACGACACGAGCUGACGACAGCCAUGCAGCACCUGUCUCAGAGUUCCCGAAGGCACCAAUCCAUCUCUGGAAAGUUCUCUGGAUGUCAAGGCCAGGUAAGGUUCUGCGCGUUGCAUCGAAUUAAACCACAUACUCCACCGCUUGUGCGGGCCCCCGUCAAUUCCUUUGAGUUUCAGUCUUGCGACCGUACUCCCCAGGCGGCGAACUUAACGCGUUAGCUUCGAUACUGAGAGCCAAGUUGCUCCCAACAUCCAGUUCGCAUCGUUUAGGGCGUGGACUAC
rnacentral:misc_RNA from 1 species